rnacentral:rRNA from 1 species
UGGCUCAGGACGAACGCUGGCGGCGCGCCUAACACAUGCAAGUCGAACGGACUUGAGGAGCUUGCUCUUCAAAGUUAGUGGCGGACGGGUGAGUAACACGUGAGCAACCUGCCUUACAGAGUGGAAUAACGUUUGGAAACGAACGCUAAAUACCGCAUAAUGUAGGGGGAAGGCAUCUUCCCCCUACCAAAGAUUUAUCGCUGUAAGAUGGGCUCGCGGCCGAUUAGCUAGUUGGUGAGGUAAUGGCUCACCAAGGCGACGAUCGGUAGCCGGACUGAGAGGUUGAACGGCCACAUUGGGACUGAGACACGGCCCAGACUCCUACGGGAGGCAGCAGGUGGGGGAUAUUGCACAAUGGAGGAAACUCUGAUGCAGCGACGCCGCGUGAGGGAAGUACGGUUUUCGGAUUGUAAACCUCUGUCGUUCGGGGAAGAUAAUGACGGUACCCGAAGAGGAAGCCACGGCUAACUACGUGCCAGCAGCAGC